UUUAACUGGAGAGUUUGAUCCUGGCUCAGAUUGAACGCUGGCGGUAGGCCUAACACAUGCAAGUCGAACGGCAGCAGACCGUGACAAUCCCUUCGGGGUGCGUCUGGUGCUGGCGAGUGGCGGACGGGUGAGUAACACGUAGGAAUCUGCCCAACAGUGGGGGACAACCCGAGGAAACUCGGGCUAAUACCGCAUACGCCCUACGGGGGAAAGCGGGGGACCUUCGGGCCUCGUGCUGAUGGAUGAGCCUGCGUCGGAUUAGCUUGUUGGUAGGGUAAUGGCCUACCAAGGCAACGAUCCGUAGCUGGUCUGAGAGGAUGAUCAGCCACACUGGGACUGAGACACGGCCCAGACUCCUACGGGAG
rnacentral:rRNA from 1 species